rnacentral:rRNA from 1 species
CCCUUAGAUGUCCUGGGCCGCACGCGCGCUACACUGACAUGUUCAACAAGUUUCUCCUAGUUCGACAGGACUGGGAAAUCUUUGAACGCAUGUCGUGAUAGGGAUAGAUCAUUGCAAUUAUUGAUCUUGAACGAGGAAUUCCUAGUAAACGCGAGUCAUCAGCUCGCAUUGAUUACGUCCCUGCCCUUUGUACACACCGCCCGUCGCACCUACCGAUUGAAUGUUUCGGUGAAGAUUCUGGAUAGGACUGAUUUGAUUUAUUUCAUUUCUGACCUAAAAGCUAUCUAAACCUCAACAUUUAGAGGAAGGUGAAGUCGUAACA